rnacentral:rRNA from 1 species
UUCUGGCUCAGGAGUGAACGCUAGCUACAGGCUUAACACAUGCAAGUCGAGGGGCAGCAUUGGAGUAGCAAUACUCAGAUGGCGACCGGCGCACGGGUGAGUAACACGUAUCCAACCUGCCGCUUACUCGGGGAUAGCCUUUCGAAAGAAAGAUUGAUACCCGAUGGUAUAAAGAGUUCGCAUGUUCUCUUUAUUAAAGAAUUUCGGUAAGCGAUGGGGAUGCGUUCCAUUAGAUAGUUGGCGGGGUAACGGCCCACCAAGUCUACGAUGGAUAGGGGUUCUGAGAGGAAGGUCCCCCACAUUGGAACUGAGACACGGUCCAAACUCCUACGGGAGGCAGCAGUGAGGAAUAUUGGUCAAUGGACGAGAGUCUGAACCAGCCAAAAGUAGCGUGAAGGAUGACUGCCCUAUGGGUUGUAAACUUCUUUUAUAAGGGAAUAAAGUGAGGGACGUGUCCCUUUUUGUAUGUACCUUAUGAAUAAGGAUCGGCUAACUCCGUGCCAGCCGCCGC